AUGCACGCUAGCUACAGGCUUCACCCCUGCCAGUCGCGGUGCAGCAUGGGGGUUGCUUGCAAUCCCCGAUGGCGACCGGCGCACGGGUGAGUAACGCGUAUCCAACCUGCCCUUCACCACGGGAUAACCCGGCGAAAGUCGGACUAAUACCGUAUGUUGUCCAUUGACGGCAUCCGAUUUGGACGAAAGGCUUGGCGGUGAGGGAUGGGGAUGCGUCCGAUUAGCCAGACGGCGGGGUAACGGCCCACCGUGGCUACGAUCGGUAGGGGUUCUGAGAGGAAGGUCCCCCACACUGGAACUGAGACACGGUCCAGACUCCUACGGGAGGCAGCAGUGAGGAAUAUUGGUCAAUGGGCGUAAGCCUGAACCAGCCAAGUAGCGUGCAGGAUGACGGCCCUAUGGGUUGUAAACUGCUUUUAUGCGGGGAUAAAGUGGCCCACGUGUGGGCUUUUGCAGGUACCGCAUGAAUAAGGACCGGCUAAUUCCGUG
rnacentral:rRNA from 1 species